ACGGAGGAUCCAAGCGUUAUCCGGAUUCAUUGGGUUUAAAGGGUGCGUAGGCGGACUGAUAAGUCAGCGGUGAAAUCUCUCGGCUCAACCGAGAAACUGCCGUUGAUACUGUUAGUCUUGAAUGCAGAUGAUGUGGGCGGAAUAUGACAUGUAGUGGUGAAAUACUUAGAUAUGUCAUAGAACACCGAUUGCGAAGGCAGCUCACAAAACUGUGAUUGACGCUGAUGCACGAAAGCGUGGGGAUCAAACAGG
rnacentral:rRNA from 1 species